rnacentral:rRNA from 1 species
AGUGAACGCUGGCGGUAGGCCUAACACAUGCAAGUCGAACGGCAGCACAGUAAGAGCUUGCUCUUACGGGUGGCGAGUGGCGGACGGGUGAGGAAUACAUCGGAAUCUACUUUUUCGUGGGGGAUAACGUAGGGAAACUUACGCUAAUACCGCAUACGACCUACGGGUGAAAGCAGGGGAUCUUCGGACCUUGCGCGAUUGACUGAGCCGAUGUCGGAUUAGCUAGUUGGCGGGGUAAAGGCCCACCAAGGCGACGAUCCGUAGCUGGUCUGAGAGGAUGAUCGGCCACACUGGAGCUGAGACACGGUCCAGACUCCUACGGGAGGCAGCAGUGGGGAAUAUUGGACAAUGGGCGCAAGCCUGAUCCAGCCAUACCGCGUGGGUGAAGAAGGCCUUCGGGUUGUAAAGCCCUUUUGUUGGGAAAGAAAAGCAGCAGGUUAAUACCCCGCUGUUCUGACGGUACCCAAAGAAUAAGCACCGGCUAACUUCGUG